UUGAACGCUGGCGGUAUGCUUAACACAUGCAAGUCGAACGAAGGCUUCGGCCUUAGUGGCGCACGGGUGCGUAACGCGUGGGAAUCUGCCUCUCGGUUCGGGAUAACAGUUGGAAACGACUGCUAAUACCGGAUGAUGACUUCGGUCCAAAGAUUUAUCGCCGAGAGAUGAGCCCGCGUAGGAUUAGGUAGUUGGUGGGGUAAAGGCCUACCAAGCCGACGAUCCUUAGCUGGUCUGAGAGGAUGAUCAGCCACACUGGGACUGAGACACGGUCCAGACUCCUACGGGAGGCAGCAGUGGGGAAUAUUGGACAAUGGGCGAAAGCCUGAUCCAGCAAUGCCGCGUGAGUGAUGAAGGCCUUAGGGUUGUAAAGCUCUUUUACCCGGGAUGAUAAUGACAGUACCGGGAGAAUAAGCUCCGGCUAACUCCGU
rnacentral:rRNA from 1 species